UUCAUUGUCUUCUACAGUAGAGCGGGACAUUUAAUUUACUCUCAGCGGAAUUGACCGGAGAAGGCAUCAGUUCAUGCACUGCACUGGCCCGCACCACGAUUAGUAUAAGGCACAUUUCACGAAGCAGAACGCAGUCUUCAGAGAUAUCCACGUGAACGCUGUGAUACGUCUGACCUUCAGUCCGAAGAAGAAACCCAGACCAGUCUUAAAAGAAAGCACAAACCAAAUCCCCUGUACACAUAUACGGACUCAGAGGAUGAGCAGCCUACAAAAAAACGGUUUCCCCAGGCCCCUCGAGUGAAAAUACCAGCCCUCAUCACUCCGCAGUCUGCCCCCCAGCCCACUGAUAGCAACCAUCAUAAUGCCCCACCCAGCUUCCGGCACCUUUCGCCACUCCGGCACAAACCGACACAGCUUUGCGAUCUCGCCAGCAU